GCCCAGAAAAUCACCAGUCAAAGUGAGCCGAACACCUCCGAACUCUUUAAAGAUAGUACAGCGCAGCAGCAUAGAGACCCGCUACGCGCACACACAAUGCGGAAGAACUGUCAGGCUAUGACAUAUGUAUUAUGCACGCCCAAAAUGCGAGCGGUAGUAUUCUCCCAUGUAUUCUCCAUCACUGCCCUGAAACCUGGCGCUAUUUAUCCUAAAUGUGCUUGAAGCGCAAACCUGGAGCUGACCACGCCGCUCCUAGCCGACUGCCCGACCUCGCCCGCACCGUACCGCUAGCUAGUUAACUAGCGCACCAUCAUGCACCGAUCGCGAUAUGCGUACCGAUAUCCGCGCCCCAUCUUCGUCUCAAAAGCUGCUUUACCAAAGACGUCAAUGGAAAUUUGCAAAGCCUUGGCUGAUGAGAUACUUGAUACUACUAAUUUGGUCGGGAUUUGAUGAUCUCAUAGCCAUGUUACAGUGACUGCCCCUUCGUAGAAUCAUUACCAUGGUUUUAUGAUCGACGGGUUGGUUGUCAGAUGCCUGUGCGAAUACCCCAUCCGAAACAACGUCUCCUCUACGGACUACAAGAGUGUUAACAACAUUCUGCAGAGACGUCUGUAGUAAAGCUCUGUAGAGAUCCCAAGAAUAUUCACACGCAGAGUUUUAACAUAGAUUGAUAUGAAGGUACUUUACAGAAGGAAGAAGGAAAUUACUGUCUGGAGUGCAAGAUCCUGGAUGAUACUGGUGUGAAGUCUACCAAGGAUAGAGAAUAGCCGAUAGGGGAAGUUCAUAAAGUGGUAAAGAUGACAGAUGGCUAGUCAGCAUACGUUAAUUCUUUGUUCACACUGCUUUUACCUCUGACACUAACCAGAAGAAGUCUUGAUCAGGAAGUGGACAUUGCACCUACAAGAAAUAUAACCAAGCAGCAUUUUUCUCUCACAGAUAUACUGUACAUUCAUAUGUGAUUGUACUAUGAGAAUGGAAUCUACACACUGUUUUAGAGUAGGAAUUAUGUAAAAACCUUGUUUCAAAUCAACAGCUUUCAUAUGUUAUGUAACAUUGAAGGAUUAUAUUGUCCAAGAAUAUUUGAUUCAUCAGACUUCUUUGUGAAGGAGGUGUGGAUUCUCUCUUUAAUCUCUACCAACUCGCAGAGAUGUGCUUGUGUGAGGUAUCCCUGUUACAGCAAUGAAGCAUACUGGGCCAAUCAACUAUCACGUGUGACCAACCGACACAGUCCGAAAGGAAGGAGAGAGUGAGAAAGAGUUCUGAAUCAUCGAGGGAUAGGAAUCACAUAUUUAUAGGACGAGUUUAUUUAUAGCUGCUCUUGAAGAGAGUGUGUACUACUCCCCCCUUGCCAAAUCAAAUCGUUGGCGAUAAAAGAUAAUCUCGCCACUAGUGACACAUUGCCAUUUGCAGCUUAUGCAUCCAGUGGAUAUCUUAAUGCACACAUUGAAGGAAUAUCAGUAUCGCCUCCUCAUAUACUGGUCAAUCCCGUGUGAAUUAAAGUUGAAAACGUGUAUGCAGAUGCCCUUCAUAGGGAAAGGAAGGUUUCGUUGAUUCCAUAUCGGGAUUUCAGUGUGACUCGUUGGAUCAUUAUCAAGGAUUAUUUAAAGCUCAACUGACAGUGACAUCACACACAAGCCGCUGCAUGUAUUUCUAAUGGAUCAGGUUUUCAUGGGUUAAAAUUGCAACUCGUAUUCACCAAGAAAUUGUGCAAUAUUUCGAAAUUCAUAAAGAACUGUACGUAACUCCUCAUUGAUGUCGCUACCGACCGGUAUGUUUGACGUCCAUUGUGCACAGUUCGUGGCGUGAUUGACUAUUGUGUAGUGUAUUUUGUUGAUUGGAUUAUUACUCGGAAUCACUCAAAAUGGCUCUGAAAGGAACAAAAGCGUUGCAGUCGUGGUGCGUCAAGGUCACGACCGGUUACCCGAACGUCAAGAUCGAGAACAUGACGAAGUCGUGGAAGGACGGACUUGCCUUCUGCGCUAUAAUACAUCACUACAGACCAGAGUUAAUAGACUUCAAUUCACUGUCAAAGAAAAAUAUCAGGGAGAAUUGCACUUUGGUGAGUACAGUACUGGUAGACCAGAGUAUUAAGCUUUUAUCGGUUACUAUCAGUUCAUGUACAUAACGUUUCCACUAGCAAUGAACAUGAAUAUGUUUUCACAGUUAAAUGUUCCUGACAGGCACCUUUACAGGUAUCUUCAAGUUCUUCAACUUCUUCCCUGUACUGUAGAAGGGGUUUGCUGAGAGUGUAUCACUUAAGAUCUUUUUUGCCAGUGACUUUCACUGACAGAUGUUAUAAGCGACUGUAAAUUCUUGUAUCUGAUUGGCUGAAACCCAAAUAUUCGAUGAGAAUUACUAAUUGUUUCUUGAAAUACACCCCAGGUCUCGUGCUAGGACAUCCGUGCAAAAAGCCUCUCGGAUGUUCUAUAUCUAGAGACUUGAUCACCUUGGAACGAAAGCUAUGUUUUUAUCAGAUGCAACUGUGAGUUGCUGUUUGAGGUGCUUUUUACAUGGCAUACAUUUUCUUUGUAUUUCUGUUAAUGUUAUUUUUAUCCGUUUUCAAUGUCAUAUUUUUGGCACGAUACCAUAUUCUUCAUAUUUUAUCAUUGUGAUACCAUACAUGUAUUCUUCAUAUUUUAUCAUUUUUGGGGCAUUUUCACUUUCCCUCUUGCCCCAUGACAUUGGAAGGGUUUCAUACCUCCGUUUUGAACGAUUGUUUUCUUUUUUGCCCAUCUUUCCCUGUUCAGUGCAAAAGUGGAUUACAGUGCAAUAGUACGUAGUAGGCCUGUACAUGAUGCAAUGUGUACACUGUAUUUACUUGUAAGAUUGGUCUAGGAGUACUUCCUUCUUUAUAGUAUGACAAGAUAAAUACAUGCAUAAAAUAUACAUGUAAUUCAUUUAUUUUCAGGGAAGGAAGGGGUGAAUCAAUUGCAUCCCCCUUCAUUCAUAUGUACAUACUAGUUCAUUCAUAUGUACAUAGACUGAGUGUUCAUACAUGUAAAAACAUCUUCACAAUCAAUCGCAAAUACACCAAUUAAACCUUAUUAAACCAUUUUAUUGAGUGAUCAUAGUAUGCGUUUUAUUGCAAGAAGAUGCCAAUAAAUUACAACACACUAAAUUGCGAGAUUUUAAUAUGAAUACUUCAUGUCUUGAUCCAAAAUCGACUUUCAAUCCACUGCAAGAUUUAUUUCAAGAUCCUCUGACAGACUGUCUCCCCAAGCUAAAUGAUUUUUACAGAAUACAUACAUAUACUAAUCUUAUCUUCCUUCUAAAAAUUCUAUAUCUGUUUCUGGUCUAUAUGUAUGUUUUGAAAUGUUUAAUGAUGAAUAUCAUUUCUCCCUUGUAUUCCUACAUGUAGAGUAAGAAAGACAUUUUUCAUUUUGAUGAUUCAAUUUUGUUUCUAUUCAGCAAUGUCUAGCAAUGUGACUAAUCAACUCUUCAGGAUACCUUUCACUUCCAGACAAUUCUUUUCAAGCAAAAAUGGUGCCAUGACCCUAUCGGGCCUCUUGUUUACAGAAUGACCGUUUACCAUCAUGACAUUGACUCUAUUAAUUCUAAGAUCCAAUUAAAACGAUCCCUUCCUCACUUUUAGAUAUUUAAUCAGCCACUUGUCAAAAUCGUGCACUCGCCUCCCAAGUCCGAGUGACCCUAAACUAGACAAGAUAUCGCGCCGAAUUACGGUCAUCGAGGUAGGGGCCUGAUUCGCUCUUCCGGUCUUUACUGGGAAGCCAGUGACGCUGGUAAUGAUUGCUUCCUAUCUUGCCAUGUUCCGAAAGGAUCCUGUGUAUACAUGGCUUGAAAACAGCAAGACUGGUUCUAUUUACACCUAGUAGUAUUAAAGAGCUUCUGUAUUUACUUGAUGGGAUCAGGGACCUGUUGCAUAAAAGUUACUAUUCACAAUAAUUAUAGUAACUUUGUCAUGUAAACUAUAAUCCUCGAUUUUGUUUCCACCCAAAAGUGAUCUUGAACAUUACCCAUACAUAAAAUUUUAAUUGUUAUUAAAUACAUACUGUAUAAAUGUCAUCUUCGUUAUUUUACAAAUCAACAUCAGUGUAAUCAUUUUCAUUCCAGCUAAAAAAAAAGUUUUGAAUAUCAAACUUCCAAAGUGCCGACUUUUUCACUUUUGAAUUUUUAUGGCGCAGUCACAUUUUGCCAACAUUUUCGACUCACCGGAUGCCGGAGGGGAAAUGUGACUGCAGUGGCAGCUGUCGAUUGCAAUAUUAGUGAGACAAUAUAUUAAAUGUAGUUCCGGUAUGAGACACAAAAAUGUAUGGAAACUUAGACAAUGCAAACUUUGCUCCAUAAUUGCAUACUGUGCAUUUGAAUGUAAAGACCAAUUUGUGAUUAAUAUACAUGUAUGUAAAUAAUAAUUUUAGUGAUGUGAGGCAGGCAAUAUAAAUGCUGAUUCCAUUCUAUGCUACUUUUCAAAAGGGCACAUUACAGUAAAAUUGGGAUGUAUUAUUUAAAGGGAAGUUCACCCUCACAAAAAGUUUAUUGUGAAAAAUAGGAGAAAAAAAUAAUUAAAAUAUUGCCGAAGGUUUGAGAAAAAUCCAUCAAAGAAUAAAAAAAUUAUUAGAAUUUGAAUUAUAGUGAAAGGAGUUUAAUAGGCCAAUCUUUAAACCCAAUAAUGGCCCUGAAUUAAUAGAAGCCUCUAGGAUUAUCUUAAGCAUCUAUGACAUAGCAGUUAUUGCCCAUGCUAAUUGAUUUCUCGUGAUUUUAAUGUAUCAUCACAGGUGCUACAUAACUUUUUAGAAGCACUUGCCCAGUCGGGCAAGUAAAUUUUUAAAUAGUUGGAAUAUACUUGCCCAAUAAUCUAUUUCACUUGCCCG